rnacentral:rRNA from 1 species
GUGGGGGAUAUUGCACAAUGGGGGGAACCCUGAUGCAGCGACGCCGCGUGGGUGAAGGAGCGCUUAGGCGCGUAAAGCCCUAUCGGCAGGGAAGAGUGGGCGGCGACGCCCGGACGGUACCUGACUAAGAAGCCCCGGCUAACUACGUGCCAGCAGCCGCGGUAAUACGUAGGGGGCGAGCGUUAUCCGGAUUCACUGGGUGUAAAGGGAGCGUAGACGGCCCGGCAAGCCCGGAGUGGAAUCCCAUGGCCCAACCAUGGGGCUGCUCCAGGAACUGGCGGGCUGGAGUGCAGGAGGGGUAAGUGGAAUUCCUGGUGUAGCGGUGAAAUGCGUAGAUAUCAGGAGGAACACCGGUGGCGAAGGCGUCUUACUGGACUGCAACUGACGUUGAGGCUCGAAAGCGUGGGGAGCAAACAGGA